UGAAGAAGACAACCUCUUCCUUUCUGGAACAAACCACAGUUUGAGGAACGACAAUGACGGAACUCGAUAAAAAGGGAAGAAGCCAGACUGCUCCGGUCAUCUGACGGCUCUUCAAUGAAGCUGUAAUCCACUCGUGGAGGGCCUGACCAUUCACUGCGAAUCUGCCGAGGAGGAGGAAGGGGCCGGAGGAAGUGAGAACGUCGGCCUCGGUUCCAGCAUCAUUGCAUCAUUCCAGCACAGUAUCCAAAUUAAGGACGGGGCGCUGCGCUGAGUGUAGGGGCAUGAGCUCAGAACUCCUGUCUGGGGCUGGUCCCUUUUCUGCUCUGGGCUCUUCUUGUGUAAAAAUGAAGAGUAGACUACCAUCUCGAGGCCAGUGAAAUUCUAGACUCUCCUUUCUGUUUUUCAGGAUUUUUUUUCUUUUCUUUUAAAAUCCGAAAUGGGAGCUUCCGCAUUUAUUAUUUGCACGUGGUUCUGAGGCUCACUCCUGGCCACAUCACAGCUAUGUUCUUUCGCCUCCGGUAAAUACAUAAAAUGCCUAGCAACAGUCCUGGUGGCUGCUGGUCCCCAUAAAUACUGCUGCUCGGCUCCCGCCCCACCUCUGUACCCCGGCUCCUCUCACAGCCUGGGGACUGAGGUAUGGAGGCCAAGAGAGGGUCGUUUUAAGGAAGAAGCAAGACAAAAUGCUCCAUCCCAUCCAAGGAAGAGCUGGAUUCUCCUCUUUGGGCUCAGGGAGUAAGAUGAGCGUAUGGAUUGUCUCUACCUGGAGCAUCCCUGCCUGUCUACUGUGAAAGGACCAGGAGACAUUGGGAGACUGGCUGGCAUGCGCUUCCUGAUCCUAUCAAUCGAAGCUGUAGACGAAUAUCCAUUCUUCAUCUGAGGACAAACGACAGACGAUUUAACCAUUCAGGGAACUGAAAAGAACACGGAUGGCAUCAAGCUUGGCCCUUAGCUGACAGAGACUAGGAGUUGAAAGACAGGUGCUGAAGGAGUGAAUGUUUUCAUUUUUUAAAUGGGCAAUUAAGUGAUGCUCUCUAUGGUCAACAGAAUGAGAAAUCAAGUUUCCAAGAAUUUGUUUGAGAAUUAAGCAACGUCCUCUAAGCGGAGGGAUGGAGCAUGAAGGGAAGAGGUCUGGGGGAAGACACAGACGAGGCUGAAUCAGGGAGAGAAACCCCAUUGACUAUAAAAGGAAGGCAAUGAAGUCAAAUGUUUAUAAACUGAGAAAGAGUGAUGUUAUGGGUUGACUUAUGUCCCCUCAAAAGACAUGUUCAAGUCCCCAGUACCUAUGAAUGUGACUUAACUUGGAAACAGGGUCUCUGUAAAUGUAAUCAAGUUAAGAGGAGGUCAUUAGGGUGGGUUCUAACCUGAUAGGACUGUGUCCUUAUAGGCAGAGGAAAAUACCAUGUGAGGAGGGACACAGAGGGCAAGCCAAGGACCAAUGGCACUGCCAAGAGCUGGAAGAGGCAGGGAAGGAUCUCCCCGAGGCUUCAGAGCCAGUGUGGCUCUGCUGGCACCUUGAUUACAGAUUUCCAGCUCUCAGAACUGUGAGAUAAUAAAUUUCUAUUGUUUUAAGCCA